rnacentral:rRNA from 1 species
AUGAACGCUAGCUACAGGCUUAACACAUGCAAGUCGAGGGGCAGCAUGGAGUUGCUUGCAAACUCUGAUGGCGACCGGCGCACGGGUGAGUAACGCGUAUCCAACCUUCCCUAUAGUAGAGGAUAGCCCGGCGAAAGUCGGAUUAAUACUCUAUGUUUCCGUUGCAGACAUCUAAGAUGGAACAAAGGCUUGCCGCUAUAGGAUGGGGAUGCGUCUGAUUAGAUAGUAGGCGGGGUAAUGGCCCACCUAGUCGACGAUCAGUAGGGGUUCUGAGAGGAAGGUCCCCCACAUUGGAACUGAGACACGGUCCAAACUCCUACGGGAGGCAGCAGUGAGGAAUAUUGGUCAAUGGGCGAGAGCCUGAACCAGCCAAGUAGCGUGCAGGAUGACGGCCCUAUGGGUUGUAAACUGUCUUUUAUAGUGGGGAUAAAGUCACCCACGUGUGGGUGUUUGUAGGUACCAUAUGAAUAAGGACCGGCUAAUUCCGUGCCAGCCGCUGC